UCUACCCUCUUCUUGGAGGACCGAUGGAUCGAGGGUAGGUUGAUCAUCGAGACCGCGCCUGAGCUACUUCUCCUAGUCUCGAGAUGCAUUCGGAAGCGUCGUACCAUUCGUUAGGCUAUCACUGAUAGGCGGUGGAUCGCGGACCGUGGCACACUUAAACCCAUGACGCUGUGGCAGUACAUCCAGGUCUAGUGGAGCGCUCGCCUUGAGCAACACUCUGACUCGCGGGAUGCUCUGACUUACAUCGACUACCAGUGGCAUGUACUCCUCCAAGUCAUGCUAUGA
rnacentral:rRNA from 1 species